GGGGAAGGAGCCCCCUAUAAAUGAGCCCACAGUGGCAGCCUGGCCAGCAGAGCUGCUUGAUCAGCUGUGGGAGUAGCCUCAUUGCCACCAUGAACUUCUCCGGCAAAUACCAAGUACAGAGCCAGGAAAACUUUGAGGCCUUCAUGAAGGCAGUCGGUCUGCCCGACGAACUCAUCCAGAAGGGGAAGGACAUCAAGGGGACAUCGGAAAUCGUGCAGAAUGGGAAGCACUUCAAGUUGACCAUCACUACCGGGUCCAAGGUCGUCCAGAAUGAGUUCACCUUGGGAGAGGAGUGUGAGAUGGAGACCCUGACUGGGGAGAAGGUCAAGGUAGGAGGGGCUCCCUCCCCCACCUCAGGGCACCCUCUGCUUCCAGAACUGUCCCUGGAGCUUAGCCCCAGGGCUUCCUCCCUCAAGGCUCCCACCUCGCAAUCCCCAUGGGGAUGGAUCCCUAUCUCUGAACCCACUGUGUGGUGAGAGGCAGAGAGACAGAAGCAGUUCUUAAGGAGGAAGGUCUUAGGGAAGCUCCCGUUUCCUGGACUGAGGAGCCAUGGCUGGAGCUCUCCCAUGUGGAACAUGUGGGGAACCGGCCCAGAGCAGGAGCCUAAGAUGCAGGCUCUCCCAGGCACAGCAACUGGCAAGUGGGAGUCAGUGCAAAAACCCAAACAGAGCCCGAGGUCCUCCUUGAGCCCAAGGAAACUGGCUUUUGCUGAGCCUAGAGCUGGUGGCCAUGGGGAGAGACUUCCUGGAGGAGGUGAUGGCAACACCAGAGGACCAAGGCCCCAGCCUUCCGGGGUGGUACCUGAGCUCCUGGCCUUUGCUUUCUCAUCUAUGAAAUGGGCACAGUCACCCUUCCCAGCACUAAGGCAGUGGGCUGGGCAGCAUACCUCCGCUGGGCUGUGGCUAAGGUGUUUGAGGACAGCUGGGUGUGGCUAAGGUGUGCAAUGAGAACAUACAGGUGGUGGCAGGGAGUUCCAGGCAGGGGGGUGCCCCUCCCGAAGGGUCUCUCUUCUUCCCUCCAAACCCCCCCAUCCCCACCUUAGCGUCCCCAGGGCCACAGAGGCGCCAUGCUCACUCCCCACCUCCCCAAGAUAGCUUUGUGCACUGGGCUCAGAGGGUUGGUCUUUUACCCCUUCUGAUUUCUGCUCUUGGUUUCUGCUUCCCCAGACAGAACAUUACAGGUCAAGAAAUCGGUGAUGCAUUUUAGGAGGGACAUUUUCUUCCACGCCCACAGUAAGGGGCAGGCCAUGAUGGGUUUUACCACAGGCCUUUUCCAAUGGCCCUUUAUGGAGGCAAAGCUUUAAACUUGGCCAGUGUCUUCUCCCUGCUGGGUUUCCGUUAUCUCUUGCUGGGUGCAUGAAUAAGAGACCACAAUAAGGAAAGAUAAAGAUGGUGGAAUGAAUAAUUCAUACCAACCAAAAAUAUGUGUCCUCCCAGCUGGCCAGUAUUUUGAAUUUUGCUACUCCCUCCCUCCAUUUGCUUGGAGAAUUGCAAGGUUACUAGAGUUUAUUCUAAUGUUUGCUUUUGAGACCACUUAGCGGUCCUAUGUGGAUACCUAGAUCACAUCCCAUAAAUGAAAAGCCUGACAAAGGAACCACCGCCAUUUUCUUUAGUUCUUUAUUAUUAUUAUUAUUAUUUUUUUUUUUUUAGUGCUGUACCCAUGUCAUAUGGAAGUUCCCAGGCUAGGGGUCACAUUGGAACUGUAGCUGCUGGCCUACACCACAGCCACACCCACUGAGCGAGGUCAGGAAUUGAACUCAUAUCCUUAUGGAUACUAGUGGGGUUCGUUCCAGCUGCGCCACAAUGGGAACUCCAGAUUUUCUUUAGUUCUUAAGGCCCCUCAUUUCUAUUCAGAGCCAGAGCACAGGGAGGGGCCAUGUCACACAAAGCCGAGAGGUUUGGUUGCCAUCAUCAGAGACCUACACAGGGAAGCCAACCUCACUGGUAAGAGGUUUACCCUCUUGCAGACCCUUCCUCACAGUUCCUUUCUUCUAUCCCCUGCAGACAGUGGUUCAGUUGGAAGGUGACAAUAAACUGGUGACAACUUUCAAAGGCAUCAAGUCUGUGACUGAACUCAACGGUGACAUAAUCACCAGUACCAUGACACUGGGUGACAUUGUCUUCAAGAGAAUCAGCAAGAGAAUUUAGACAAGUCCGCAUUUCAUAGUCUUAUAUCAUGUAAAAUUAAUGCAAUAAAGUGAACUUUCUUUUUCAAAAAGA